GAAAGAAGACGGCAUCUAUUCAGCGUACGAUUUGCAGCGUCGGACAUCGGUGCCUCACAAUUUUCUUGAUAGGAGCUACGAAGCGCUGACUGCAAACGCGUCGACGAACUGCACGCUGCAUCGCACCGUAGAUGAUGACGAUAGCAGGAAAGACCGCAAUGAAACAAAGAAACAGAUGGCGACGAUAACCCGUAGGCGCGGUAACUGUGCUCGGCGGUUCGGUCCGGUCGCCUAGGUAACGGCCGCGCAUGCUCAACGCCGCGCGAUAGCGGCAGAACGUCGUCGGGGCCCGGCCGCUAACGACGUGGAUGCAAGUGCGGGCUCCCAUGCUUGUGUGUGCCGUGCGACACCAGCGCCACUCCUCCUCCUGGCGGAGAGCCGCGUCACCGUCUAUCAGCACGCUUGCACAAAACCGCCGACAGCCGCCCGCAUAAUCAAGUGUGCAUGGCGCGGGGUCUUCGAGCUGUGUUCGUGGCAGUCCCGGCUCCGCCAGCCCAUCCAGAAUUCCUGCCGGAUUUCCUGCCUUCGCUCCAGACAGCCGGCUUGAAGCAGAGGGCGUAGUGACGGAACCAGAGUCCACGACGGCCCCGCAAUGUGGCACUUCAGCUGUGCGUGGAUAAUUACGUGAUACUCGUACGUGGGAGGUGCUGACAAGAUCAAGCAACAGCGCACCCAAGCAAGCCCUGUCCUGCCCCCGAGGAGCACCAAUGUUCACGCAGGACUUACAACAGUCCGCCGUGACUUUCUAUAGAGCGGCCAUAACCGGCGGAAUUAUUCGGAAUGCACUCAUGGACAUUUCAUAAAGGAAUGAAAGAAAGCUUUCCAUGCGGUAUUCAAUUUCUGCCACGUUGAAUGAAUAGCACGUAGUACGGCAUCUCGAUGUCGAACAGGCGCGCAGGGUUUACAUAUCUCCUUAUAGGAGUUUAUUUACCUCCACAGUGUCAUCCGCGGUAACGUCCAGAAAACCUCGACCGGCUUGCCACCUCAUAUGUCAUACUCUUUCCGCCGUACCUGCGAUUGCUACACCUAAUCGUACCUCUGAGAAUUGAAUGCCCCUGUAAAACCGCACUUCGCUAUCCCUGGCAGCACUGCCCAAGGGUGCAUGUAUCGUGUCGCAGUUCGCAUUGGAAUUCAAGCUAGAUAGAGGUAAGGACUACCAUAGGGCCUUGCAUACUCGAAGUGACAAGCAGCAUUGCAAGCAUGUAAGUGCAACGACCCUCUACGAAUGUUAUUAUUGUUACUAUCGCGCUUUGAUAGCUCCAACUCUGCAGUUCCAACACCGCUUGCUUAUGGUUACGCCACCUGUCGGCCUACAUUAAAGUAUUAUUUGGGAAGAAAAAAGAAACCGACUGACGAUAUUCAUCCGUGAUACAUACCAUGGCUCAUAACCCCAACUGGCAGUAAGUUCCACGUGUUUGGAAUACUUUCACGUGAGAGUGCCAUAUCAUCCAAGUACUGUACACAUUUAUGUAUACGGAUGCCAGUGUAUUCGUUUUAAGAGGGCGUCCACGUCGCUUAUGGUCCCCCGGUUCUGCUCUCGGUGCUGGCUCUGUCACCCCGCGCUUACCCGGUGCGUCGUCUCAGUUGGACGGAUUUUCAUUGAUUGCAUCCGAUCCUGUACGCCAUGCACGACGAUGAUAAAGACGCGAUGUCGAUGUGGGUCGCUUGCGUCCAUAGUGAGCAGACUCCAUUUGCCCGCUACGCCCCUACAAAUCACAAUAGCCCGGCGUAACUACGAUGCUGCGUACCUAACAUGCACUCGGCGAAACAUUGGCAGGAAACUUCCACUGCUGGGUAGCAGGUGUUCACAUCACGCCAUGGUGCAGGAUAUUUCUUUCCCUGUCACAUUAUGUGCUUACAGAAAAAAAAGGCAUCUUGUACGCACUACAGCUGUGCAUAUACUGGGCCCGAAACGAUGAGCAAAACGAGAACAAGGUAGAUGCGGGAGUGCUCCAGCUUGUACCUUCUUCUCGUUUUGCCCAUCGUCUUGAUUUUUCAACUCCUGUCUUCCCGUGUUUUUUAUAGGGCCCGAAGAAAUUUAACCUGUUCCUCUUUCUUCAUAGACGAACUCUUGCUUAACCGCCAUUCGUACACGUGUAGCCGAUAAAGCACAGCGGAAACGAAAAGGCGGCUCGCACAUGCGCGAACUGUCCCGUUCAUUGCUGCGAGUGUAACGCA